ACGGAGGGUGCGAGCGUUAUUCGGAAUUACUGGGCGUAAAGCGCGUGUAGGCGGGGAUGCAAGUCUGAUGUGAAAGCCCUGGGCUUAACCUGGGAAGUGCAUUGGAAACUGCAUUUCUUGAGUACUGGAGAGGAAGGGGGAAUUCCCGGUGUAGAGGUGAAAUGCGUAGAGAUCGGAAGGAAUACCAAUGGCGUAGGCACCCUUCUGGGCGGUUACUGACGCUGAUGCGCGAAAGCGUGGGGAGCAAACAG
rnacentral:rRNA from 1 species